UAGCUAUAAUAGUGGUAAUGGUGGCACCAGCUAAAUCGCUUCUUUGUUACCAGUGCCAAGCCUGGUCUAUACCAACAGACAACAACUUGGAACAACUCUGCAAACCAGGGGACCGUGUGUGGUGUAAGGGGGAGAAAGUAUGCUCAACCAUUACUACAACCUUCCUUACCGGACUUGAUGAGGAUGGCAAGCCCGUAGACAACUGGAUAAAAAUACAUGAUUGUAUGGAAGAGGCAGAGGUAGAGUCGAAAUAUGCCAAAAAUGACAGGGAAGAAGUGCUCGCCCCAAAGUUCAAGGAAUUUAGUGAUUAUGCCCUUGAAAUAGAAUUAUGUGAGGAGGAGCUGUGUAACUCAGAUUUUUACUUAAAAGAACCAGUCUGUAACAAGACAACUAUUGACAACGGUGUGGUUUCUCCGGAUACACUGACAAUAGAGUCUGGAUCUACUUACUCGGUAACCUGUGACGAAGGGUUCGUAAUCUCUGGAUCCCCAACCAUAAAUUGUGACGGCGGUCAACUCUCGGAACUUCCAACAUGCAAAAUAGGGGAGUGCAUGGUAGAACUGGCAGAAGUAAAAAUAAAAAAACCAAAUAGAGAUUACUGAAUGUCCGGAACAACCCACAUGGAGUGUACCAAAACAACUCCUUGGAAAGAAGAUUACAAAAAAUACAGUCAAGAAAUUGAUGAAGAAGCCGGAAACCCAAAACGUCGGAUACG